GUGUGAUCACGUUUUUCAUCCUGAGUGUAUUGAUGCUUGGUUGGAAUCACAUGAUACUUGCCCUGUUUGCCGUGCUGAUCUCAACCCUCAACCGGAUGAACCGCCGGUUCAAGUUCCAGAAGAUGAACCGGCAACGGAACAGCAACAGCAACAGCAAAACGAUGAAGUUUCAAUUCGCAUAGUGAGCGACGACGAACAAAGGGAACAAGUACAGCAACAGCAACAAGAAGAAGGUUCUGUUAAUUCGACGGUGAAGCGGAAUUUGAGCUUCAACGUGCCGAACCGGGUUCCCAAGCAAGAAGAAGGCGGUUCAGUUAAAUCAGGAGUAAAGAGAAACUUGAGUUUCAACGUGCCGAUUCAACCACCGAGAUCAAUUUCCAUGAGGCCAAAGAUGUUCAGCAAAUUCAGAUCACAUUCAACCGGUCAUUCACUAGUACUACCAGGUGAGAAUUUAGACCGGUACACUCUCAGAUUGCCGGAGGGCGUUCGGAAAGAGGUAAUGAACCGUGCACUAUUGAACCGGGCUAAAAGCUUUGGAGGCACCUUACCAAGAGAUACAAGCUCCAGAAAAGGAUACAGAACCGGUACCGGAGAUGGAAGCAACCGGGGUUCUAGAUCUAACAAAAGGAUGGAGUGGUCUGAACCGGAACCGAAAUCGGACCGGUGGAUUUUCACCAUGACACCACCAUUCUUUUCAAGAGGUUCAUCAAUGAAAUCACCCAGAGUUGGAGCUGAAGCCGGCGAGGGUUCCACCUCAGGGAGUAUGAGAACCGCCGUCAAAUUGCCGUCGUUUAAAUGCUUGGAACCAAAAGGCGAUGAAGCCUCAUUGAUGUCGACUGACUCGGCUCGACCGCCGGUUUAAUAAUCCGGUUCGAAGUCAAACCGUAAUGAUUCGCAAAGACUUUUCAUGGGCUAUAGGAAAGGGGAACGUGUUUUUCAUGAUAGAUUGGGCCCCCGCUUUGAAUUAACAAGCCCAAACUUGACUCUAAAUUUAUUUUUUCGAGAAAAGCAUUUUUGUUUUUAUUUUUUUGUUAUAUAAUUGAAAAAUCUUUAAGUUUUUCCUUUUUCUCGUUUUAAAGAUAUAGUGCAUAUCAAUAGUUGAUGUAAGUGUAACCAAAAAAUCACUUGUAAUUUUAUUUAUUUUUCCUUAUUGGAUAAUGUCCUAUGAUGAUGUAAGUAUGUGUAUUUCAAUUUUUGGUGAAACAGAAAUGUAAAGGAAAAAGUAGAGGUUUCGAU
rnacentral:misc_RNA from 1 species